rnacentral:misc_RNA from 1 species
ACUUUUCCUUCAUAAUUUUAAAAACAUAUUACAUAAAGAAAGAUACAGAAAUUAAAUACAUAUUACAUAAAAUUUAAACCAAAGAUAACUCCUCUAAUCUAUCACUAACCCAAAAAGCAUAAUUUUCGCUAUCUGUGAUUAGUCCAUGAUUCAGCCUCUCCCUGUAGACUUCCAACGCCGCUGUAGCCUGUGUAUAUACCUCCGGAGUUGGUUGGCUUGCUUCGUCCGGGUCCUUAAAACUUUUUGUCCCUCUGAGAAAGCGUGUUACUGGGUGGUUGUGUAUCCAUCUUACCCAAUUUCUUAUAUCAUUGCCGAACUGCCCUUCGCCUAUGCUACUUUGGCCCCUGAUGAUAUCCAUGAACUUCCAUGCAUCUAUGCCUCCCUCCGCCUCGCGAGCAUAUAAGGUUGAGACUCCUUCCAUAAAUUGCCUGAAUUCUUUGACCAUCUCCUCAAUCUCUUGAUAAUCUUCAAAUCGAUGAUGCCCUAAAGUUUUUCUCCAUACUCCCACCUCCGGGAAAGGGCAUAUCCCUUCCUCCCCAGGUCUGAACUUUGCCAUCCACAUGGUUAAUUCCUGAUCCUCUAUCACACCCCCAAAUUUCUUAAGCUGCUGAAUUAUAGCAUAGCGAGCUAGGAGGUGAUUUACAUUAUGGUGAUUGAAGGGAUUAUCCACAACCAUUGCGAUUACCGCGGCCUCAUAUUUCUCUAUAGAAUCAUGGAUUCCCUCUGGCCAAAGUAACUUCUCCAGAUUGUCUCUAGCUGGACGAAUCGGUAAUCCAUCAGGAAGCCAGAACAUUGAAAGAAAUUUCGGUUUUCCCUUAAAACUGUAUUCCCAUCUAUGUGACUUUCCCCUUUCUACAUCUACCUCCAACUCCCCCUCAAAUUCCACCCAUCUGGCCUGAUGAAUGAUACGUGAUGUCCCUUUUGAUAGAUCUGUACCUAUCGGAAAGAUGGCUUGUUUCUUUGUAACAUGAAAUGGUGGCCUGUGGAUAAAGAAUUCAUCCUCUGAGAUUCCAGCCCUAAAUUCCUCGUUUAGUUUACUCCUCAAUUUCUCAACUCCCCUACCUGGAUCCCUUGAGAAAAGUGUCAGAUUGUCAUCUCCGGCACAAAGUACUGAGACUGUGCUCAAAGGAAUGUCACACAUCAGACAGGUAAUCUUCAUGUAGAGUAUAUUUAAGGCUGUAUCUAACCAACCCGUCCAAAGAGACCCACUUGGUACCAUUCCUUCUAACAUCAGAAUCCCCCCUCCAUCGAAUAUGAUGGGACGCUCCACUAAUGCGCGUGUCAUACAUACUUUAUAAGCAUGGAGUAGUCUUUCCUCCCUUGGCCCCUUUGGCCGAAAGCAACUGAUUAUUACAUCAAUCAUAAAGAUUAAGUCCUCCUUGGGCCGCUCUCUAUCAAACUUAGACCAAUCAAGCUCUACGAUACACUCUGAUUCCUUGACUGCCUCCCAUAUCUUCCUCCAAUCUGCCGAGGCCUUGACAACUGUAUUCUUGAAUCCACACCCUCUCUCCAGCCUCUUCCUAAAGGUGAUAGACGAAAGUACAUUAUAAAGAGGGCUCGAUGCUGCCUGCUCAAGUGCAUCGAGCAUCAUCACAGCUCUCCCUAAAGGUGCACUAGUCUCCAUUUUCCGCUUAGCCACUUCCAUUGUCAUUAAUUUUGUUCUAAAGCCAAGUCUCGCCCCGAAGAAGGGAAGGCCUUUCUCAUCUAUCUCCCCACGGGCAAAGGAAUCAUACCUCUCCCACAUAAAAGACUCAAGGAUACCCUUAAGCCCAUCUUUCCCCCUAAUCCCGAAACUCCUCAGAAAAGGACCAGAUGUAGCCUCAUUGUUGUAAUUCUUCAUGACACAAGAAUUGGGCCCAUCAGGGACAGCUAAAUCAUCUGUUAAACUAAGAAAAGCCCUUGCCUGGGCACUACUAAAGUAAUCAGAAAGGAAAGAGCCAGGUGUAUCACCUCUGGCUUGAGCUAUGAGUCGCAAGGCGUCACUAGAAUCUCCACCACCCCGAAACAUCUGACUAUCACGCCUCCAUCCCACCAUCUCCCCACCCCCUAUUACCUUGCGAACUCCACACUCCCACUUACUGCGGGCCACGGGGAUGCCCCUGACCCUUUCCCCUCUUGGUUCUCGAAGUACCCUGAGCCUGGGCCCUUUUCCCUCUAGGGCGGCCGCGUGGUCUAACCGCAGCGACCGGGGCCCCAGCGCCGGUUUCAGCACUAUCCCCACCUGCUCCUUCCCCUUCAGGAGCUCCUCGGGUAGAAAAGCUGCUAGUGGCCUGGCUCCCUCUCGCACUCCCGGUAGAUGAGGUCUCCCCACGGGGGUUAACAUUGCCACCCUCCUUCUCUGGAUUAGGGGCAGGGCCCACAAUCUCUUCUCCACCUGUUGCAGCCAAGUAGCCACGAAAAUUAGUGGCCAUCCUAGAAUCUCCAACCUCAUCAAAUUUCAGGAUAACCCCGCGCAAAUACCCUAGCAGUGCCUCUCUAUUAGCAGAUUGUUGAACAAAGUUCACUUGGAGCUCUGUUCUCACUUCACCCCCAAACAUUUCCCUAGCUUUAGCGUAGCCAACUUCCCCGGCAGGGAGAGGCCUGGUUCCCCUAGAGGCAGCCUUCUCACAAUACUUUUUAUAACAUAAAAGGUUAAGCUCAUCAACAGUUGGUUCGUUGAACCAAACAGCGGGGAUAAAGGCAUCCCUAUUCUCUGCCAAUGCGGCAUCUUUCUGUCUCUCUAACCUCCUAAUCCUCUUACGUAAUUCACUCAGCUGUAAGUCAAAUCCCUCCCUAAUUUUCUUCUGAGAAUUCCCAAAUUCUUGGGACUGAUAAUUCAAAACCUGUACCAAAGCCGCAUCACCUACACUAGUUCCUGGCUUUGCCUUCUUAGCUAAUUUACGAGCCUGCUGAAUUCCCUGAGUCGCAGACUGACCCUCACCAGAUUUCAAGUACUUACACAAGGAAAUCAGUUCCUUCACCCCGCACCUCAUUGGUAGCGGAAAGAACCCUUUCUUAAUCCCCUCAGACAGUAGCAGCUCCAUAACAUUCCCAUCGGUGUGGGAAGUCAGGAUCCUAAUAAGCCUCAGAAAUUGAUCACGGGCUAGCCCUGAUGCUAAGACCUCCCCAUAGGUGAAAGUCUGGACAGGAACUCCAAAAGGAAUAAGGCAUUCUAAAGCCUCACGGAUUUCCACGGUAGCUUGCUCUUCAUCAGUGAUGCCAUGGAAACCAGCUAAUUCUAAAUUCCCACCUAGAGCUACUCCUUCCGUAGUUCCACUAGGUCCGACAGUGGGCGCACCUCCAGCUUGAGCCAUUGUACCUGAAAAAGAAAGGAAGAACAAAAGAGCACAGAAUAUAAAAAGGAGAAAGUGG